GCUUCCCUGGCUCAGUUGGUUAGAGCGCCAGUCUCAUAUAGCGUGAGGAAUCUUGGAUUCUGUAAUCUGGAGGUCAUGAGUUCGACCCUCAUGGGGAGCA